UACAGAGGUGGCAAGCGUUGUUCGGAAUUACUGGGCGUAAAGGGCGCGUAGGCGGCUUGGUCAGUCCCGUGUGAAAUCCCUCGGCUCAACUGAGGAACUGCACGGGAAACUGCCUGGCUUGAGUUCGGGAGAGGGAAGCGGAAUUCCGGGUGUAGUGGUGAAAUGCGUAGAUAUCCGGAGGAACACCAGUGGCGAAGGCGACUUCCUGGCCUGUUCUUGACGCUGAGGCGCGAAAGCUGGGGGAGCAAACGGG
rnacentral:rRNA from 1 species